rnacentral:lncRNA from 1 species
UGCACCCCCCUUUUUUCCUUUUUUCCUUCCUUCUUUUUUCCUUUUUUUUCGUUUCUUUUUCUCUUUUAUUUUUCUUUUCCCUUUUUUCUUUUAUUUUUUUUCUCUAUUUUGUUCGUUUUCUUUUUUUUUUCUUUUUUUUUGUAAAUUUUUUAUUUUCUCUUUUUCCUUUUUUUUUCUUCUUUUUCCGUGUCUUUCCUUUUUCCUUUUUUUUCUUUUCUUCUUUUACUAUUUUUUUUAUUCUUUCUUCGUUUUUUUUAAAAUAAAAAAGAUGAAAGAAAAUGAAAUAGGACAACAAUAAAAACCAAGUCUCAUUAUUUAGUCACCCGGACAUUAUUGGGUGUUGACACCUUGAC